rnacentral:rRNA from 1 species
GACGAAAUGGGAAACGGGUUAAUAUUCCCGUGCCACUAUGCAGUGAAAGUUGACGCCCUGGGGUCGAUCACGCCGGGCAUUCGCCCGGUCGAACCGUCCAACUCCGUGGAAGCCGUAAUGGCAGGAAGCGGACGAACGGCGGUAUAGGGAAACGUGAUUCAACCUGGGGCCCAUGAAAAGACGAGCAUAGUGUCCGUACCGAGAACCGACACAGGUGUCCAUGGCGGCGAAAGCCAAGGCCUGUCGGGAGCAACCAACGUUAGGGAAUUCGGCAAGUUAGUCCCGUACCUUCGGAAGAAGGGAUGCCUGCUCCGGAACGGAGCAGGUCGCAGUGACUCGGAAGCUCGGACUGUCUAGUAACAACAUAGGUGACCGCAAAUCCGCAAGGACUCGUACGGUCACUGAAUCCUGCCCAGUGCAGGUAUCUGAACACCUCGUACAAGAGGACGAAGGACCUGUCAACGGCGGGGGUAACUAUGACCCUCUUAAGGUAGCGUAGUACCUUGCCGCAUCAGUAGCGGCUUGCAUGAAUGGAUUAACCAGAGCUUCACUGUCCCAACGUUGGGCCCGGUGAACUGUACAUUCCAGUGCGGAGUCUGGAGACACCCAGGGGGAAGCGAAGACCCUAUGGAGCUUUACUGCAGGCUGUCGCUGAGACGUGGUCGCCGAUGUGCAGCAUAGGUAGGAGNGAGACACCCAGGGGGAAGCGAAGACCCUAUGGAGCUUUACUGCAGGCUGUCGCUGAGACGUGGUCGCCGAUGUGCAGCAUAGGUAGGAGUCGUUACAGAGGUACCCGCGCUAGCGGGCCACCCAGACAUCAGUGAAAUACUACCCGUCGGUGACUGCGACUCUCACUCCGGGAGGAGGACACCGAUAGCCGGGCAGUUUGACUGGGGCGGUACGCGCUNCAGUGAAAUACUACCCGUCGGUGACUGCGACUCUCACUCCGGGAGGAGGACACCGAUAGCCGGGCAGUUUGACUGGGGCGGUACGCGCUCGAAAAGAUAUCGAGCGCGCCCUAUGGCUAUCUCAGCCGGGACAGAGACCCGGCGAAGAGUGCAAGAGCAAAAGAUAGCUUGACAGUGUUCUUCCCAACGAGGAACGCUGACGCGAAAGCGUGGUCUAGCGAACCAAUUAGCCUGCUUGAUGCGGGCAAUUGAUGACAGAAAAGCUACCCUAGGGAUAACAGAGUCGUCACUCGCAAGAGCACAUAUCGACCGAGUGGCUUGCUACCUCGAUGUCGGUUCCCUCCAUCCUGCCCGUGCAGAAGCGGGCAAGGGUGAGGUUGUUCGCCUAUUAAAGGAGGUCGUGAGCUGGGUUUAGACCGUCGUGAGACAGGUCGGCUGCUAUCUACUGGGUGUGUUAUGGUGUCUGACAAGAACGACCGUAUAGUACGAGAGGAACUACGGUUGGUGGCCACUGGUGUACCGGUUGUUCGAGAGAGCACGUGCCGGGUAGCCACGCC